AUCUUCGAUACCCGGCCUCCAGCUCGGAUAUGUUAUAAAUCAACUGCACAAAACGAAGCCGACCGUCAGAAGAUCGAGCUUACAAUAAACGGUAGUGAAAACGAAAAGAAAGAAGACUUACCCGGAUCAUAGUCGGGUAGAACGAAGACAGCAUGUCAGAGACACGCUGAUUCUUCAUGGCCUCAAUGUCGGCUGGAAGGAUGAGCGCCUGGCAUAGCCU
rnacentral:lncRNA from 1 species